rnacentral:tRNA from 1 species
UAGAAUGUGGUGUAUCAGGUAGCACGAAGAAUUUUGARUUCUUAGGRUUAGGUUCAARUCCUAUAAUUCUAG